UUUUUUUUUUUUUUUUUUUUUUUUUUUUUUUUUUUUUUUUUUUUGAAAUUUGAAACAUAUCACAAGCAGGCAAGAAC
rnacentral:ribozyme from 12 species